rnacentral:tRNA from 1 species
UGGCUCAGUGGUAGAGUACUUGCCUAGCAAGCAGGAGGUUCUGGGUUCAAUCCCCAG